GACGUAGGGCGCGAGCGUUGUCCGGAUUUAUUGGGCGUAAAGAGCUCGUAGGCGGUCUGUCGCGUCGGCUGUGAAAUCCCGGAGCUCAACUCCGGGUCUGCAGUCGAUACGGGCAAACUGGAGUACUGCAGGGGAGACUGGAAUUCCUGGUGUAGCGGUGAAAUGCGCAGAUAUCAGGAGGAACACCGGUGGCGAAGGCGGGGUCUCUGGGCAGUAACUGACGCUGGAGGAGCGAAAGCGUGGGGAGCGAACAGGG
rnacentral:rRNA from 1 species